rnacentral:lncRNA from 1 species
AUGGGGCCUGGCCAGAUAAAGUAGCCACCUGGCCCCACUUGUCUGCUCUAUUCCCAAAGACUCGUGAUCUCUAGCUGCCCACAUAGAGACGAAAGAUUGCAAGAAGGAAAGACAAGGGACCUCAAGAAGUCACUGAGUUUGAACCCUGUGGGAUUUGGUCUGAAAGUGCAGGAUAGAGUCCCUCCCUGGCUGGGGUGCAGCUGGGGUGCACUGGGGUGCAC